ACGGAAGGCAGCAGUGGGGAAUAUUGCACAAUGGGGGAAACCCUGAUGCAGCAACGCCGCGUGAAGGAUGAAGGCUCUUGGGUCGUAAACCUCUGUUCUAAGGGAAGAUAAUGACGGUACCUUAGGAGCAAGUCCCGGCUAACUACGUGCCAGCAGCCGCGGUAAUACGUAGGGGGCAAGCGUUAUCCGGAAUUAUUGGGCGUAAAGAGUGCGUAGGUGGUUUCCUAAGCAUGGGGUUUAAGGCAAUGGCUUAACCAUUGUUCGCCCCAUGAACUGGGUUACUUGGGGGCUGGGGAGGAAGGCGGAAUUCCUAGUGUAGCGGUGAAAGGCGUAGAUAUUAGGAGGAACACCAGUGGCGAAGGCGGCUUUCUGGACAGUUACUAACACUGAGACACGAAAGUGUGGGAAGCAAACAGGAUAGAUACCCUGGUA
rnacentral:rRNA from 1 species